ensembl:processed_transcript
GGUGUGACUCCCCACCUACAUUCCUAUUUUUCCGAUUUCUUAAAUCAUGGACACUGUCAUUAUCCUUUUACUGAAGGAGCUUUUUUGUUUUUUUUCUGUCUUGUUUUUUGCAGAGAAUACUUGGAGCCAAACUGGAUCCAAAGAUGCGUUUCUUUGGACGCUCUUUAGAUAGUCGUGAAGACAUGAACAGAGACUCCAUCCCUGAUAUUUCAGUCGGAGGUGAAGGGAAGGUAGUGCAGCUCUGGUCAAGAGGAAUUGCAUCAGUCUCAACAAGAGUCUCCUUCAACCCAGAAAAGGUCAGCAUUGUGAAUAAAACUUGUCUGUUUGGAGGAAAAAUGGUGCCGUGUGUCACUGCCAAAGUUUGCUUCAGGUCCACAUUUAGACCCACAGGUUUGGGUAAAGUAGAUAUCAAGUACAGCCUGAUGCUGGAUGCCGACCUGCAGUCAUCGAGAGUCACUUCAAGAGCACAGUUUGAAAACAAAGACCGAACUAUUCAGAAAGAAAUCAGCAUCUUUGACAAAGAGACUUGUGUGGAUCAUAUUUUUUAUGUGCAGGAGACUCCUGAUUUCAUCAGUCCAGUUGGUUUGCGUGUCAACAUCAGUUCACAAGAUUCAGACAACGGUCCAGUCCUGGAUGCAUUUUUGCCCACAGCAUGGGAAUUUUUUGUCCCUUUUGUGAAGGAUUGUGGCCCUGAUGAUAAAUGUACUUGUGACCUGAAGCUGACUGUGAAAGCUGUUAAUGUGCCAAGCUCGUCUUCACUUCUAGUCGGCCCUGACAGAAGAAGACUCCCCAUCAUGGUAACAGUAACCAACACAAAGGAAAAUGCGU